rnacentral:pre_miRNA from 1 species
AAGGCCAGUGGUAGAGCAAUUAUUGUCGGGCUCGCCGGAGAAUCGUCGUAGUCCCGCGGGAUCUGAUCGAGGCGCUCCACAGCCUGGGA